CCCGACUGCUAUUUGGGUGAGAAUAAGCCAUGCAAGUCGAAUGGGAUACCUAAAUUUCCCAUGGCAAACUGCUCAGUAACACAUGAUCAACUUACCCUAUAGAGAAAAAUAACCUCGGGAAACUGAGGAUAAUUUUUCGUAGUUGAAUAGGCUUGGAAAAGUUAUUCAAUAAAAAGGAUAAGAAAAAUGGUUUUUAUCUGCUAUAGGAUAGGAUCGUGGACGAUUAUGGUUGUUGGUGAGGUAACGGCUCACCAAGCCGAUAAUCGUUAGGGGCCGUGAGAGCGGGAGCCCCGAGAUGGGUACUGAGACAACGACCCAGGCCUUACGAGGCGCAGCAGGCGCGGAACCUCCGCAAUACACGAAAGUGUGACGGGGUUACCCAAAGUGUUCAAUUCUGAACUGUGGUAGGUGAGUAAUGUCCCCUACUAGAAAGGAGAGGGCAAGGCUGGUGCCAGCCGCCGCGGUAAAACCAGCUCUUCAAGUGGUCGGGAUAAUUAUUGGGCUUAAAGUGUCCGUAGCCGGUUUAGUAAGUUCCUGGUAAAAUCGGGUAGCUUAACUAUCUGUAUGCUAGGAAUACUGCUAUACUAGAGGGCGGGAGAGGUCUGAGGUACUACAGGGGUAGGGGUGAAAUCUUAUAAUCCUUGUAGGACCACCAGUGGCGAAGGCGUCAGACUGGAACGUGCCUGACGGUGAGGGACGAAAGCCAGGGGAGCAAACCGGAUUAGAUACCCGGGUAGUCCUGGCCGUAAACGAUGCAUACUAGGUGAUGGCACGGCCAUGAGCCGUGUCAGUGCCGUAGGGAAACCGUUAAGUGUGCCGCCUGGGAAGUACGGUCGCAAGACUAAAACUUAAAGGAAUUGGCGGGGGAGCACCACAAGGGGUGAAGCCUGCGGUUC
rnacentral:rRNA from 1 species